UUUUUUUUUUUUUUUUUUUUUUGGUAAAAAAUGUAUUUCUAAAAAAUGUCAUGACAGAAAAAAAAAAAGUGCUUUUUGCCAACAAGAUCAGCUCUUCUCCAGCCUUCUGCAACAACUUUGCACUUCAGCAGUGAGGCUAGUAAGUAAUAUUGUAUAGAAAAAAUUGACAUACAACUGGCGGUACACCAAUCAAGAGAACAUCCGGAGAAAGUUAUUGGCAUACGCCAUUGGCUUCACAUCAGGGUGUGGCUGCAAUUUCAUCACAAAAAGAAAUAAGAGGACAAGUUACACUUUUAACCAUCUAUAAACCAAGUUGACAAAAUUUAGCAGAAGGAUCUUUCAGAAAACACAGGCUACUCACCACUGCUGAAAAUGUGACAAUGUUUGGCUUCAGAUCUGGGGCUUCAAAACGAAUAAAAGCACCCUUGUUGCCCAUCUGCAACAGCCAAUCACAUACCCAAGUUAUAUGUAAUCUCUUGCAUCAUAAUUAAAACACAUCAUAAGUAUGUAAAAUCAAUGCAAAAUUAUCUGAAAAUGAUAUUCCAAAAAUAUAAUGUUCUGACAACUAAUCAGUAUGAAAUUUCAUUACAAAUCCAAGCUCCUUAUAAGCAACAAAUAUAUAAAAUAUAUCCAUACUCCAAGAACGAAUAUUGCAGAUCACCUAAAAGACCAAUAUAUGUUCCAUAGUCUAAUGAGUGAGAUGAAUAAAAACAAUAUUUUCUCACUCCUGAUAAGAUAAGCUCCAUACAAUGGGCUCUGCUGUUUUGACUACUUUUGCAAUUUCUUUAGAGACUUCUCAUAUGUGAUAAAAUUGCAAGGAACAGUGGUUCAUACUGGUAGACAAGGGCUCAACAGCUUCAUGAGGCCUACAUUUCUAAAUACAUAUACAUAUGUGAUGUCCCCUGGAGGAGUUUAGUCGAAUGUACACGAGUUCUAAGCUUUCAAAUCCAAGGAACUAUUAAAAAGGUUAAGCCUCACAUACCUGAUCACAAUAGUUUGGAGCAGAAAACACAGUAAUAAGCUUGCCAUCAUGUUCAAUCUCAUAGCCUUCAUCCUUUACUUCAUGAGAUCGCACAACUAAAUCUGUCAAACAAGCCAUGUGCAUGAAGAGAGUGACUUCAACAAAAUAUGACCAUAAAUAAUAUACAAAUUAGUAGAGAAGUACCUAGAUUGUUUUCUUGCAAGAAUCUUUUUGUCACAUCUACACCAAAGGAAAGACCUACACCCCGCUUGCUAGGGCCUCUUCCAGGGUAAGGUUGGGGAUCACUCCACAGCAGUUCACACAUCAAUCCUUAUGGAAUACCAGAUAAAUAUUAAAGGUACUUAGUAAUCAAUAAACAUAAGCAGUGAAGAAGCAGAGGAUCAUGCCUUAGAAUGAUCUUACAUAAAAAAAAAUCCAAGUUUACCUUAUCCAGAGUAAACAGCAGAAGUGAGAUAAAGGACAAGAAAGAAAAAUACUGAGACUACAAUAUGAACUCUGCACAUGGUAAUUUGUAUUUUAAAAUAUUUUCUUGAACAGAAACAACUAUGCACAUGCUACUACUACUAAUAAUUUGUAUUUAAAAAUAUUUUCUUGAACAAUAACUAUACAAAGUGCAUUUGUGAAAUUAAGAAUUAGAAUAUUAAAUCAAGUGCUGAGAUAACUUCAUUUAUGUUAGUUCUUUUUAUAAAUUCUGAGGCUACAAUUAAAAAAACAAAAAAAAACUGUUAUUGUCAUGAUUUAUUAUUUUCAUUUGUUAGAAUUGAUAAUAAAUUGAUAUUUAUUUUAAUCAUGGACAUUCAAAAUAUUUUUAUUAAAUGUGUGAAUGAAUUAUCUUUUGUUGAACUACAAAGUGAUGCAGGUUGAAGUAUUCUUCCUAAUUAGUUUAAUUGGAGAUAUUCUGCAGAUGGACAUAUUUGUGGGGAACCCUACAUAUUAAGUGAUUAUGCAUGUGACAAAUUCUAUAAAAAACCGAUCAUAUGUUGCACAAUUGUGAAUUUAUGCAUUAAUGGGGGGCCAGGGCCCCUAGGUAGAGCCCAAAAAGAAGAACAGCAUCGUGUCCCUAGUGAUGGAGGACCCCAAAGUAACCUCAAGAAGAUUCCAUUAGGAAUAUAAUAGGGGGGUGCAGACACACAUCCUUGGGUGAGAGUCCUAAAGCAAAAUUUUAUAUUAUUGUGGUAUUAGCCAAGAUUAAAUAUUUUGUUUUUAAUGUGGGCUUCAAGAUAAAACAUGGUUGGUGAAAAUGAUUAUACCCUCUUGUAUGAUUUUAACUGGAUGAUGAAUUAGCUACCAAUUAAUAAGAAUAUGACCUUGGUCAUUACCUACAUUGGUUAAGUUUAAUUUUGACAUAGGUGAAUGCAUUACUUUUAAUGCCAUAUUUGGAAUUAUUUCAUCAUUUUAACCAGAAGUUUACACAUACCAAUGUCCACCCCAGUUUUGGAACCUCAAAUUAGCUUGUGUCCUUCCAAUAUUUCAUGGAUUUAAGAUUUAGAUGUGACAGAUAACUCCUAUUACCUUUCUUCCACUGCUCAUCAUUAAACAAUUUUGAAUUUUUGAGAAUUUGUAAUUAGUCACCUUCUAUUAUAUCAUCUUCUAGGAUGCAUGAUAUGAGAUAUAUCUUACCCAUGGUACCAAAACAAAACCAGACAAAACAAAACCAGCAUGUUUUACUAAUGAAUAGAUAAAGGUACCAAUAGCAAGUAUGCAAGCAACAAAAAGAUUUAAUCAUUUCAAUUAUAACCUAUGCAAAGUCCAUUUGAUCGAGGCAUUGAGAUGACUGAUAUACAAAAGCAAAUGAAUAAAUAAAUAAUUAACUACUCCACUAGGACUAAACAGCCCCGAUAAAAACUAAAUUUUCGCUGAAUGCCAAAAUUCCAAGGUAGGGCUGUGUUAGAUUGUGAUCAUCAUGCACAAAUGUUGAGAUUAGGCUGCUAUGCUCUAUUCAAUCAUUAGAGGCUGUAUAUGUGAAACUUUCAUGUGCUAAGAAGAUUGAAUUUUUUGCUUCUGAGGAUCUUUAAUGGUGACAUCAAUUCAUAAGGUUAUAGAACAUGUUCUCCAUUCAUGUUUUUUUUCCUUUUUCUUCUCGCAGCUUCACAACUGGGAUAAAUAAGAGUUCCUCUAAGUCAUGCCAAAUUUGUUAAGCUUCCAUGUUUACACAAAGGAUCCUCACCCUGAAUCAAAAUGAAAAAGAAAUACAGUUUUUCCUCUUUUUUUGUUCUCUUUUUUAUUUGGCAAGUGAAACACAUUAUAUAAUUGACAAUUUAAUUAUAACUAUUUACCAAUAGUGGUAGGAUUGGAAGAGAAUGCAUCUUGAUAUUAAUAGAAGCUUGAGGAAAAAAGUACAGAAUGAACAGCAUAUCUAGCUUACCUUCCUCAGGAGGCUCACAAAACCGGUCAAUUGCUCUAAUGUCAGAGAGCUUCACUCCAUCAACACUGAAUAGACCUCCAUGAACUACAAAGAUCUUUUCGUUUAUUACAUGAGCCAAAGGUAAACAACAGAACACUUCGGCAAAGAGUUCCACAAAUGUUUCACUCAACUUGGAUCUGACCUCCCCUUCAAAACCAUAUAUCUUGUUCAUGCUCUUGCUCUCGUGAUUUCCUCUAGAGAGAUAUAUAGCUGAAGAUUUUUUGAACCAGUCAACAAGAUGUUACAUGAGAAUAAAAUUAGUUGUGAUUUUGUUACUUAGAGAGCAUGAAACAAAGGAAGAGGAAACAAAGUAAUGCAUGGUAAUUGUAGAAAGAAAUGAAGAAAAUGCUGUUAUUUUUACACAUAAAAACCCAGACAAGCAAAAAAGAAAGGCUGAAUUAAACAUAUCAAUGGCAAAUUUCAGGACCAAGGCAAAAUAUGAAAUGAACCUAAUAAUAGAGACCUGCUUAGGCACAAUUGUAUUCAAAUAUGAUUUACUCAUCAGUACCAAAAGCAGAUGGCCUUGAAUAUUACUAUAAAUAUAUGUUGUUCAACAGCCAUAAACAGAAUUAGCAAAAAUGUACUUCUUGAUAUGCUAAUGAGAAAAACAAGAAUCAGCAAAAUGUAGAUUCUAUUUCCACAUGUUACCCUUUCAGAAAGGAAUGAUUGUUUGUCAGUGCCAAACCUUGUAAGCAAAGCUCACGCAGAGAAGACAAAGAGCAGAAGAAUUGCAGAGGGAAUACCUGAUGGAGACAUGCACUUAAAUGCAAACAGUGUGAGGAUGACCUCUAAAGAAAAGGAUCCUCUAUCCACAAAAUCACCAUUAAAUAGAUAGGGGUUCUCUUCUGAGGGAAGUCCAUUGAGGUCAAAAAUAUUUAAUAGAUCAUAGAACUGCAAGCAUAUCAAGAUGGGUGUAAGUCCCUCCAAAUUCCAAAAUAGCAAACAGAAAAAAGAAAAGGCAAUAAAAAUAGUUUGGAACAUAAAGACAGAGCUAAAAGAGAUUAAAUUAAGUAAACAAUAUGGAACGUCCAUGUCACUGUAUCAGAAAUCAGUGGAUGCAAGAUGCCUAGGUGCCAAUACAAGGCAAAAAAACUGAUUUACUACACAUUCUAGACAUAAUGCUUAAAUGGAGAAAGAUAUUACAAAACACUUUUAAGCAUCCAGAUUUCCUCUCCAGGAAUAUAAGGCAGAGCUAUAAAUGGGCAUCAAAAAAUCUUCAGGCAGGAUUGGAAAAUUAAUUUGAGAACUGAUCUUUCAAGCUUUUACAAGAACAAGAAAGCAUAAAUCAAUUAUGAUUGCAACUUGCAAUGUAGUAGAUUGCAUUUAAUAUGUAGAAUAGUUAUCCUUUUAAUGAAUAACAGUUUAUCCAAUGGGACGGCAUAAACACAUGGUCACUAAUGGGUGUAUUCAUUACAACAAACUAUAUGUGAAACCAAAGUUCGGUUAAUCUCGGUUUUGAUGAUAACAAAACAAGGUUUGAAACUAAUGAUUAUAUUUCAAGUGUGAUUAGGCAAGAAGAUUUCCAAAGUAGCAAUCACAAAGACAAAAUCAAGACAAAGAGAAAUCAAUAAGAAGAAGAAGACCUCAAAGAGAAGUUCUUUUCAAGACCUAAGCUUUAUAGGAUCUCUUUGUAAGGUUGGUUGUUGGUGCAUUAGGUAUUUCAUGCAUUACAUUAUUAAUUUAUGCACCAAAAUCAUUCAAAAGUAAUGUUGAAUAUAAUGUAUGUAUAGUAUACUAUCUUUCCUUAUUAAUAUAGGUCAUAUGUAUGGUAGUUAGGACUCCUAGCCUUGUAUAUAUAUAUAUCUCUCAAUUGUAAGUAAAAAUAGAUGAAUGAAAAUAAGGUUUUUCUCCUUUCUCUCUCUCUUUCAACAUGGUAUCAGAGCCAAGGAAGAAAACCUAAUUCUUUCCUGUUUUUCCGUGUCAUCAACUCCGGGAAACCUUCCGGUGACCGUGUUUCUUUCCGGUCACCGUGUUUCUUUCCGGUCACCUUUCCCAUCUCCCAAUACUUUCCGGUCAGUCGGAUCGUCGCUAGAAACCACUCACCGCCGGCGAAAUUUUCCGGCGAACUUUCCGGCGAACUUUCCGGCGAACUAUUUUUCCGACACCGACCAUACCAGAAGGAGCGCCUGGAGGAGAUCUCCACCUUUUGUGAAGACACCAGCACCAAAAGAGGAGCCACGCGCCGUCCACGCGCGAUUUUCGGUCGGCGGCUGCAUCUCACGCGCCGGCGCGUGGGGGCGCGUGAGGCAUAUUCCGGCCACUUCCGACACCUCUCCAGGCUCGUCCGGCGCCGUCUUGGCCUUCUAGCCCCCCGGCAGUCCUCCCCGAGCCCUGCAUCUCCAUUUUUUUCCCUGUUUUUGGCUUUCUUGCCAUUCCGGCCACCUCCGACAGGGCUCCCCCUCCAUCUCCGAGGCUUGGGUGCUGCUUCUCUUCCUCUCCAGGCACGUCACGAACCUUUUCUCCAUUGAUUGCACCUCUCACAGCCGUGGUUUCACUUUUUUUCUCUCUCCGCCGAAAUCUGAACCCAUCUUAGGGCUCUCUUCGAUCCAAAUACGUGAAUAUGACCACCAAAAAUCAGAUCUUUACCUCUGUUAUCUCUGGAUCUCCUAUGAUUACCUCAGAGAAAUUGGUUGGCAGUGAGAAUUAUCUCUCCUGGUCUGCUUCUGUUGAACUUUGGUUUAUGGGUCAAGGAUAUGAGGAUCACUUGGUUACCCAGGAGGCAGAUAUCCCUGAGGUUGACCGCGUACAGUGGCGGAAGAUAGAUGCACAGUUAUGUAGUGUAUUAUGGCAAUCGGUUGAUCCCCGGAUUCUUCUUCAUCUUCAGGCCUAUAAAACUUGUUUUAAGUUUUGGACUCAGGCCAAAGGAUUAUACACGAAUGAUAUCCAGCGUCUUUAUAAGGUGGCUUCUGCUAUUGUCCAUCUCAGCCAACAGGACUUGGACCUAUCUACUUAUAUUGGUCAGAUUGCCUCUCUUAAGGAGCAGUUCCUGACUGUGAUGCCUCUUACUCCUGAUGUUGGGGCUCAACAAACACAACUUGACAAGUUCUUCAUGGUUCUUACUCUUAUUGGCCUCCGUCCGGAUCUUGAGCCUAUUCGUGAUCAGAUUCUUGGCAGUUCAUCAGUUCCGUCCUUGGAUGAUGUGUUUGCUCGCCUCCUGCGUAUCUCGUCCACUCAGACUUUGACAUCUGAUAGCGCUUCAGAUUCUUCUGUGUUAGUUUCUCAAACUACCUCUCGAGGAGGACGCAGUGGUACCCGAGGUAGAGGCCAACGUCCUCAAUGCACCUAUUGCAAUAAACUUGGCCACACUCGCGAUCGUUGCUAUCAGUUACAUGGAAGACCUCCUCGCACUGCCCAUAUGGCCCAGUCCUCUGAUUCUCUGUUGCCUCAGCCUCCGAGCUCCUCCGCAUCUCAGACAUCUCAGGCUUCUAUUGCCUCUGUUGCCCAGCCUGGUAAUGCCUCUGCCUGCCUUACCCACACAUCUUCUCUUGGACCCUGGAUUCUAGAUUCUGGAGCAUCUGAUCACCUAUCUGGUAAUAAGGAUCUUUUCUCCUCUAUUACUACUACCUCUGAUUUACCUACUGUUACCUUAGCUAAUGGUUCUCAAACUGUGGCUAAAGGUAUUGGUUUGGCCCUUCCUCUGCCUUCUCUACCUCUCACUUCUGUCCUUUAUACUCCUGAAUGUCCUUUUAAUCUUAUUUCCAUCAGCAAAAUCACUCGUACUCUUAAUUGCUCUAUUACAUUUUCUGAUAAAUUUGUGACCUUGAAGGACCGGAGUACGGGGAAGACGAUUGGCAUAGGACGUGAGUCUCAAGGCCUCUAUCACCUCACCUCAGAUUCAUCUCCUGCAGUUUGCAUUUCCACUGAUGCUCCUCUCCUCAUUCACAAUCGUCUGGGCCACCCUAGUCUCUCCAAGUUCCAGAAGAUGGUUCCUCGUUUUUCCACUUUGUCGUCGCUUCCGUGUGAGUCAUGUCAGCUUGGGAAACAUACUCGUGUCUCGUUCCCAAAGCGUUUGAAUAAUCGGGCAAAGUCUCCUUUUGAGCUUGUUCACACUGAUGUUUGGGGUCCUUGUCGGACUGCGUCUACUUUAGGAUUUCAGUAUUUUGUCACUUUCAUUGAUGACUAUUCUCGAUGUACUUGGUUAUUUUUAAUGAAAAAUCGAGCUGAGUUAUUCUCAAUUUUCCAGAAAUUUUAUACUGAAAUCCAAACCCAGUUCAAUAUUUCUAUUCGUGUGUUACGCAGUGACAAUGCCAGGGAAUAUUUUUCAGCCCAAUUUACUUCGUUUAUGUCUCAUCAUGGGAUUCUUCAUCAGUCUUCUUGUGCUCAUACUCCUCAACAAAAUGGGGUAGCUGAACGCAAGAAUCGACAUCUUGUUGAGACAGCUCGUACUCUCCUCCUCCAUAGUCACGUUCCUUUUCGCUUUUGGGGGGACGCUGUUCUUACCGCUUGUUAUUUGAUUAAUCGUAUGCCCUCCUCUGUCUUACAUGAUCAGAUUCCUCACUCCCUUCUUUUCCCUGACCAACCACUUUAUUUCCUUCCUCCUCGUGUCUUUGGUUGUACUUGCUUUGUUCAUAUUCUCACUCCUGGACAGGACAAGCUUUCCGCCAAAGCCAUGAAGUGCCUCUUCUUGGGAUAUUCCAGACUUCAGAAGGGUUAUCGUUGUUAUUCCCUUGAGACUCAUCGGUACUUUAUCUCCGCUGAUGUCACCUUUUUUGAGGACUCACCCUUCUUUUCCACCACUUCUGAGUCUCUUCCUGUUUCUGAAGUCUUGCCCAUUCCCAUUGUCUCCCCACCUGAAGCUAUGCCCCCUCGACCACUUCAGGUUUAUCAUCGUCGUCCUCGUGUCGUUGCUCCUCUCCCUUUUCCUGAGGCACCUGCUGACUCACUUCCUAUCCCUUCGGCUUCACCUGCCCCGGCUCUGCCUUCUCCUAAUGACUUACCCAUUGCUGUUCGGAAAGGUACUCGCUCUACUCGUAAUCCUCAUCCUAUUUACAAUUUUUUGAGUUAUCAUCGAUUAUCUUCACCCUAUUCUGCUUUUGUUUCUGCUAUAUCCUCUGUUUCUCUUCCCAAGAGCACCCAUGAAGCUCUUUCCCAUCCAGGCUGGCGACAGGCAAUGGUGGAUGAAAUGGCUGCUCUGCACUCUAAUGGCACUUGGGAUCUUGUUGUUUUACCCCCUGGUAAAUCUACAGUUGGUUGUCGUUGGGUCUAUGCAGUUAAGGUUGGUCCUGAUGGUCAGGUUGAUCGCCUUAAGGCCCGCUUAGUUGCUAAAGGCUAUACUCAAGUUUAUGGUUCUGAUUAUGGUGACACAUUCUCCCCUGUUGCCAAGAUUGCUUCUGUCCGCUUGCUUCUCUCCAUGGCUGCUAUGUGUUCUUGGCCUCUUUAUCAGUUGGAUAUUAAAAAUGCCUUCCUUCAUGGUGAUCUUGCCGAGGAAGUUUAUAUGGAGCAACCUCCUGGUUUUGUUGCUCAGGGGGAGUCUGGUUUAGUGUGCAGGUUACGCCGUUCUCUAUAUGGCUUGAAACAAUCUCCUCGAGCAUGGUUUAGCCGUUUUAGUUCUGUUGUUCAAGAGUUUGGCAUGCUUCGCAGUACAGCAGACCAUUCAGUUUUUUAUCAUCAUAACUCCUUGGGGCAGUGUAUUUAUCUGGUUGUUUAUGUGGACGACAUCGUCAUUACAGGCAGUGAUCAGGAUGGUAUACAGAAACUAAAGCAACAUCUUUUUACCCACUUUCAGACCAAAGACUUGGGGAAACUCAAGUAUUUCUUGGGAAUUGAGAUAGCUCAAUCUAGUUCUGGUGUGGUCCUUUCCCAAAGGAAGUAUGCUUUAGACAUCCUGGAAGAAACCGGUAUGUUAGACUGUAAACCGGUAGACACACCUAUGGAUCCGAAUGUCAAACUUGUACCAGGACAGGGGGAGCCUUUAGGAGACCCCGGGAGAUAUCGACGACUCGUAGGUAAAUUGAACUAUCUCACCAUUACUCGUCCAGACAUUUCUUUUCCUGUGAGUGUUGUUAGUCAAUUCCUACAGUCACCAUGUGAUAGCCAUUGGGAUGCCGUAAUCCGUAUUCUUCGAUAUAUCAAAAGUACACCAGGCCAAGGUGUAUUGUACGAGAACAGAGGUCAUACUCAAGUUGUUGGUUACACAGAUGCAGAUUGGGCUGGCUCACCCACAGAUAGACGUUCCACUUCAGGGUACUGUGUUUUUAUUGGAGGUAAUCUAAUAUCUUGGAAGAGUAAGAAACAAGAUGUAGUGGCCAGAUCUAGCGCUGAAGCCGAGUAUCGAGCUAUGGCUUUGGCAACAUGUGAACUCAUAUGGUUGAGACAUCUUCUUCAGGAGUUGCGAUUUGGAAAGGAUGAACAGAUGAAACUCAUCUGUGAUAACCAGGCCGCAUUACAUAUUGCAUCCAAUCCAGUCUUUCAUGAAAGGACCAAGCAUAUUGAAGUUGACUGUCAUUUCAUUAGAGAGAAGAUCGCAUCAGGAUGUGUUGCUACAAGUUUUGUCAAUUCAAAUGAUCAACUAGCAGACAUCUUCACUAAAUCUCUCAGAGGUCCUAGGAUUAAAUAUAUUUGUAACAAGCUUGGUGCAUAUGACGUAUAUGCUCCAGCUUGAGGGGGAGUGUUGAAUAUAAUGUAUGUAUAGUAUACUAUCUUUCCUUAUUAAUAUAGGUCAUAUGUAUGGUAGUUAGGACUCCUAGCCUUGUAUAUAUAUAUAUCUCUCAAUUGUAAGUAAAAAUAGAUGAAUGAAAAUAAGGUUUUUCUCCUUUCUCUCUCUCUUUCAACAAGUAAUUUUGUUUUAAAUCCUUUAAAAUUAGAUGAUUUCAUGUUUUCAACUAAAAUCUAGUGUCAAAUGUUUUCCAAAUUUGUUAAAAAGGUUUUAAGUUGAAAAUGAUGAUUGUUGAGACAAAAACGACUCAACCGGUUGAACUGGAUGAGGAACCGGUCGACCCCCAGCUCAAGCGGUCUAAAGGUACAAAAACUUUCUCUUUCUUCCAGAACGCUUGUUCAACCAAUCAAGGGACGGUCGAGAUCCGAUCAAGGGACGGUUGAGGUCCAACGUUCACUUGUCAAGCAUUAAAUGCUAACGGCUAGUCAAUCGGUCGACCCCAAACUCGACCGGUCAAACCCCCAACAGGUAGUUUGGUCGUUUUCCUUUAUAAAAAUGCUUUAAUCUUCAUUGUUUCUAAAGCUUAACCUUCCUAAACCUUUCUUGAAUAUAUUUGAGCCUUGGGAGAGUGUUUUUUAGUGCACAAUUGUUCUAAAACUUGCAUAUCAUUAGUACACCAUUCAAUCAUAAUUUUCUUGUAUCAUUUGAGCCUUAAAGUUUUGUACUAGGAUUUUGUGAGAUCAUUUACUAUCUUCAUUUGUAAAUCUUUGAGAGGAAGAAUCUAAAUGUGAGGCAUCACUUAGGGAUUCUCAAGUGUGGGGUAUCAUUUGAGGGGUUAUUCAAGAGUAAGGUAUUUCUUUAGGUUUGUAAAGGGCGCUUGGAGCCAAAAGUCCAAGAAGGUGGAUUGGAACCAUAAUCCAAUUGUAUUACUUGAAGGCUUGGUUUGGAAGCCUUGAAUUAGUGGAACCUCAAGCUUGGGAUUGAAGCUAGAGGAGAGUGGACGUAGGCUGAGUUUCGCCGAACCACUAUAAAAAUCUUGUGUUUGCAUUCUCUCUUCCCUACUUUUUUACUUUAUAUGCAAUUGUCUUCAUAUUGUGUUAUUAUAUAUUUGCAUAUAAUUAUCUCUUUCAUUCACAUAAUUUAAAUUUGCAAAAAGAAACCAUCACCCUCCCUCUAGGGUGAUUACCAUAGGUUGGAUUAGCCCAAUUUUUUCUAACACUAUAAACUACUAUAAAAGCUAGGACUUCAACUUGGGUUGGCUUAAGUCAAGCCAGCCCAAGCUUUGAGCAGUUUGGGAUGAUCUUUUAAGUUCCACUUAGAACAUUACACGGUUAAAUUAAGUCAAAUUGAAUCUUAGCACAAUUUUGUUCAAGUCAGAAAACUAUUUUGCUUUUAGUAAAGAUUCCUUAUGUUUAUUUCAGAGAGGUAGUUCGGUAAUUUCUAAAUUGCUAGAAUGAGUUGGACAAGCAAGCGAUAAUCCUACAUACACUUCUGUUAUUUUAUUGGAAUUAGUAUUAGUAGUUUACUUCUUUGCUAAACUCCUAUCUUUCUAACUUAUAUAUAUAAAAAAAAAAUCUUAUUCUUGCAAUAAAAGGAAAGCCUAUGAUUCCACACAAACACAUGUACUAUUUUUGUUGGAAAACCGAAACUGAUAUGGAAAGAAAUAACUUUGUAAAGUUGUAAACUAUUUAUUAGUUGUCAAUCUUUGUAUUUUUAGGAAAGUAAUUGUUAGGAGUUAUUCUUUCCUUUUAAUCAGUGAUUUAGUUUCCUAAUUUGAAGGAUUUGUAUAUGCUGUAAACUCUAUAAAAGAAUAAUCUCAAUGAAAGAAAAUGAUUCCCGUGAAACCCUAUUCUUCAACUUGGUAUCAGAGCUAGCAAUUUGCUUGUCGAAAUCCUCCUUCUUCCUCUCUUUCAAUCCUUGUUCUCUGAAACCAUGUCGGAUAUUUCAAACGAAUCCACUACUGUUCCUCAACCUUCUCUGAACAAUCCCAUCAUCACCGAUUCUUCAAAAAUCAGUCCUACCACCUCGGAAUCUCACUCUGUCCAAAUCACCACGAUUCGCUUGAAUGGUGACAACUUUCUGAGAUGGUCUCAAUCAGUUCGGAUGUACAUCAGAGGACGUGGAAAGAUGGGCUACCUGACAGGUGAAAAGAAGGCUCCUGCAGUGGAUGAUCCGAACUAUGCUAUAUGGGAUGCUGAGAAUUCCAUGGUGAUGACAUGGCUUGUGAAUUCCAUGGUGAUGAGCAGUUUGGGAUGAUCUUUUAAGUUCCACUUGGAACAUUACACGGUUAAAUUAAGUCAAAUUGAAUCUUAGCACAAUUUUGUUCAAGUCAGAAAACUAUUUUGCUUUUAGUAAAGAUUCCUUAUGUUUAUUUCAGAGAGGUAGUUCGGUAAUUUCUGAAUUGCUGGAAUGAGUUGGACAAGCAAGCGAUAAUCCUACAUACACUUCUGUUAUUUUAUUGGAAUUAGUGUCAGUAGUUUACUUCUUUGCUAAACUCCUAUCUUUCUAACUUAUAAAAAAAAAAAAAAAAUCUUAUUCUUGUAAUAAAAGGAAAGCCUAUGAUUCCACACAAACACAUGUACUAUUUUUGUUGGAAAAUCGAAACUGAUAUGGAAAGAAAUAACUUUGUAAAGUUGUAAAUUAUUUAUCAGUUGUCAAUCUUUGUAUUUUUUAGGAAAGUAAUUGUUAGGAGUUAUUCUUUCCUUUUAAUCAGUGAUUUAGUUUCCUAAUUUGAAGGAUUUGUAUAUGUUGUAAACUCUAUAAAAGAAUAAUCUCAAUGAAAGAAAAUGAUUCCCGUGAAACCCUAUUCUUCAACUUGGUAUCAGAGCUAGCAAUUUGCUUGUCGAAAUCCUCCUUCUUCCUCUCUUUCAGUCCUUGUUCUCUGAAACCAUGUCGGAUAUUUCAAACGAAUCCACUCCUGUUCCUCAACCUUCUCUGAACAAUCCCAUCAUCACCGAUUCUUCAAAAAUCAGUCCUACCACCUCGGAAUCUCACUCUGUCCAAAUCACCACGAUUCGCUUGAAUGGUGACAACUUUCUGAGAUGGUCUCAAUCAAUUCGGAUGUACAUCAGAGGAUGUGGAAAGAUGGGCUACCUGACAGGUGAAAAGAAGGCUCCUGCAGUGGAUGAUCCAAACUAUGCUAUAUGGGAUGCUGAGAAUUCCAUGGUGAUGACAUGGCUUGUGAAUUCCAUGGAAGAAGACAUUUAGCUUUAAUUACAUGUGCUAUCCAACAACACGAGCUUUGGGAGAAUGUAAAUCAAAUCUAUUCUGAUUUAGGGAAUCAAUCACAGAUCUUUGAAUUAACCCUCAAACUUGGUGAGAUACGACAAGGGGAGGACAACGUCACAAAGUACUUCAACUCCUUGAAGCGGAUCUGGCAAGACCUUGACCUCUUCAACACCUAUGAGUGGAAAUCUACCGAGGAUGGACUUCAUCAUAAGAAGACCAUGGAAGACAAUCGGAUCUUCAAGUUCUUGGCUGGCCUUAAUGUCGAGUUUGAUGAGGUAAGGGGGAGAAUCAUUGGAAGACAACCCCUGCCUUCAAUUGGUGAAGUUUUUUCAGAAGUUAGAAGAGAAGAGAGUCGGAGGAAUGUGAUGUUGGGCAAGAAGGGACCUGGAGUUGCUAUUGAAGGUUCAGCCUUGGUUACCACGGGUGGAGGCUAUAAUAAAGUUGUUGCAUUUCAGCGUAAAUCAGAUGAAAGACCACGGGUUUGGUGUAAUUUUUGCAACAAACCUCGCCAUACUCGUGGGAACUGUUGGAAAAUCCAUGGGAAACCUGCAAAUUGGAAAGGAAAAAUAGGUGACAAAUCAGGCCGAGCCAUUAUUCCUACUGCUAAUGAGGCUGAGACCAGCCCCUUCACCACUGAGCAAAUGGAGCAUCUUCUUGCACUGUUGAAAUCCAACUUGACAUCCGGUACUUCUAGUGUUUCUUUGGCACACACAGGUAAUGAAUUAUAUGCUCUAUCUUGUCGUUUUAAAUCUACUCCAUGGAUAAUCGAUUCUGGAGCAUUCGACCACAUGACCAAUUCCUCAAACAUGUUUGAAUCCUAUUCACCGUGUCCUGGAAAUAAAAAGGUUCGGAUAGCUGAUGGUAAUUUCUCACCUAUUGCAGGAAAAGGUCUAAUAAAAAUCUCUGAGGGAAUAGAUCUUAAGUCUGUUCUCCAUGUUCCUAAACUUACUUGUAAUCUCGUCUGUUAGCAAAUUAUCUAGAGAUUCUAAUUGUUGUGUUAUCUUCUAUGAAUCCCAUUGUAUUUUUCAAGACCAGAGGUCGGGGAAGACGAUUGACAGUGCUAGGAUGAUCAAUGUUCUCUAUUAUUUUGAGGAUAAUUUACCUAGUAAUAAAAUUGCUCAAGGACUAAGUAGUAUUAGUUCUCUUUCUGUUUGUGAUCAAAUAAUAGUUUGGCAUUGCAGAUUAGGUCAUCCUAGUUUCUCUUAUUUAAAACAUUUAUUUUCAGUGUUAUUUCAAAAGGUUGAUCCUUUAUCAUUUUAAUGUGAAAGUUGUUUAUUGGCAAAGAGCCAACGAAAAACUUACAUUCCAAAACCCUACUAUGCAUCAAAACCAUUUUAUCUUUUUCACAGUGAUGUUUGGGGACCUUUAAAAGUAACCACAAUUUCAGGAAAAAAAAUGGUUUGUGACCUUUAUAGACGACCAUACACGUCUUUGUUGGGUAUAUUUAAUGACGGAAAAAUCUGAAGUCGAAAGGAUUUUUAAAGAAUUUUACAGAAUGAUUGAAAACCAAUUUCAAACAAAAAUCAAUAUUUUGAGAUAUGAUAAUAGGACUGAGUACUUUAAUAAAGUUUUGGAAACCUUUUAAAACAAGAAAGGAAUUUUACAUCAAUCCUUUUACAUGAAUAUUCCAAAAUACUUAUGGGGGGAUGCCAUACUAACUGCUUCAUAUCUAAUCAACAGGAUGCCUACAAAAAUUUUGCAGUAUACCACUCCUUUGGAAUGCUUGAAAAAGGUAUUUCCAGAAUCUCGAAUUAAUUCUGAAUUACCCUUGAAAAUAUUUGGUUGCACUACAUAUGUACACAUUUCAAAAAGGUCAAGAUCUAAGUUAGACCCAAGAGCAGAAAAAUGUGUUUUUGUAGGAUAUACUCCUAAUAAAAAGGGUUACAAAUGUUUUAAUCCCCUUACAAAAUGUUUUUACACAACUAUGGAUGUUUCCUUUGUGGAAAAUGUCCCAUAUUUUACCAAAAAUUUACUUCAGGGGGAGAAAUUAGUAGAACCAAAUUUUUGGGAAAUUGUUGAACCUUAGCCUAGUGUAAUUCUUGAUAUCUCUCUUGAAAAAGAAAAUAAGGAAACUAAGCCUACUAAAUCCAAAUUUGAAAUUGGUCUGUCAGAAGAAGAAAUAUUACGAAUAAAAAAAAAUUGAAACAAUCUUGAACCUGUGGUUUAUUCAAGGAAAAAAGUCCCUGGAAGAAGUAAAGACCAGUCGAUCAUCCCAGCACAUGGUCAACCGAAAGCCCUGGGCAAUGGCUCUCUAAAUGUCUCAAGUAACCCUCCUUCUAUUCUUACUCUACAUGCUUCUUCUUCUUUUGUUACUGAUCUAAGUUUACCAUCACACUUUGGUCCAAGUCCAGAAAUAUUUGCACCCGAACCCGGUUUAGGAUUAGCCCCAAUUGUUCCUGCACAGGACCUUGACCUUGAUCUCCCUAUUGCUCUUAGAAAGGGAACUCGAGCCUGCACUAAACAUUCCAUUGCCAAAUAUAUCCCCUAUAGUAACCUUUUUGACAACUAUAGAGCAUUCACUACAAAUAUUUCAAAACUUGUGGUACUUAGAAAUAUUCAAGAAGCACUAGAUGAACCGAGUUGGAAAUUGGCAGUGUUUGAGGAAAUGAAUGCCUUAAAAAAGAAUGGCACUUGGGAGGUUGUAGAUUUACCAAGGGAAAAAAAAGUUGUAGGGUGCAAAUGGGUGUUUACAAUAAAGAGUAAAGCAGAUGGAAGUGUUGAGAGAUACAAAGUUAGACUUGUGGCAAAGGGUUUUACUCAAACCUAUGGGAUAGACUACCAAGAGACUUUUACCCCCGUAGCUAAAAUAAACUCGAUUAGAGUUUUGUUGUCCCUUGCAGUAAGUUCCAAUUGGCCCUUACACCAAUUAGAUGUUAAAAAUGCCUUUCUUAAUGGAGACCUAGAGGAGGAAGUGUUCAUGAGUCCUCCACCAGGUUUUGAAGAAAGUUUUGGAGUUGGGAAAGUGUGCAAAUUGAAGAAGUCCUUAUACGAACUUAAGCAGUAGCCUAGAGCUUGGUUUGAGCGCUUUGGCAAAGUAAUAAAGCAUUAUGGAUAUACUCAAAGUCAAGCUGAUCACACGAUGUUCUACAAACAUUCAAAUAAAGGUAAAGUAGCCAUCUUAAUUGUGUGUUGACGAUAUUGUGUCAACUGAGGAUGAUUGCAAUGAACUAGAGAAGCUGAAGGGGAAACUUGCUGAGGAAUUUGAGAUUAAGGACCUGGGGGCAUUAAAAUACUUUCUUGGGAUGGAGUUUGCUAGGUCCAAAGAAGGUAUCUUUGUAAAUCAACGGAAGUAUGUUCUUGAUCUUCUUGAUGAGACAGGUAUGUUAGGAUGUAAGCUUGUUGAAACACCUAUAGAGCCGAAUGUAAAACUGCAGCCUACAAAAGCCAAGAAUGUGAAGGAUCGGGAUCGUUAUCAGAGACUUGUUGGGAGAUUGAUUUACCUAUCCCAUACACGCCCUGACAUAGCAUUCUCAGUGAGUAUGGUUAGUUAGUUUAUGCAUGCGCCUGGACCAGAGCAUUUUGAAGUUGUUUACAGGAUUCUAAGGUAUCUAAAGGGGACACCAGGUAGAGGUCUUCUGUUCAAGUCACGAGGACACCUACAAAUUGAAACCUACACCGAUACAGACUGGGCUGGAAGCAUAGUGGAUCGAAGGUCCACCUCUGGGUACUGUUCAUUUGUAGGUGGCAACUUGGUUACAUGGCGAAGUAAAAAACAGAACGUGGUUACUAGAAGUAGUGCUGAGGCUGAGUUUAAAGCUGUAGCUCAUGGUAUUUGUGAGAUUAUGUGGAUAAGAAGAUUACUGGAAGAGUUAAAGAUGACAGGUUCAUCUCCUAUGAAGUUGUAUUGUGACAACAAGGCAGCAAUUUCAGUAGCUCACAAUCCGAUUCUCCGUGACCGCACCAAACAUGUGGAAGUGGACAAGCAUUUCAUUAAAGAGAAGAUAGACAACGGAUUGGUCUGUAUGACCUAUAUCCCUACCGAGGAACAAGUGGUUGGUGUCUUCACCAAAGGACUACACAAGAGGUAAUUCGAUUUUCUAGUUGGCAAGCUGGCUAUGGAAGAUAUCUUUAAGCCAGCUUGAGGGGGAGUGUUGGAAAACCGAAACUGAUAUGGAAAGAAAUAACUUUGUAAAGCUGUAAAUUAUUUAUUAGUUGUCAAUCUUUGUAUUUUUAGGAAAGUAAUUGUUAGGAGUUAUUCUUUCCUUUUAAUCGGUGAUUUAGUUUCCUAAUUUGAAGGAUUUGUAUAUGCUGUAAACUCUAUAAAAGAAUAAUCUCAAUGAAAGAAAAUUAUUCCCGUGAAACCCUAUUCUUCAACUGUUUCAAAAUUGCUAUGUGAUGAGCUACCCAAAAGUCGUCAUUUUCUCUUUUCAAUCUGAGUAAUGAAAAAUUAGAAAUUCCUUUUUCCAUUUUCCACAGUGAUGUGCAGGGUCCAUCACAAGUAACCUCUUAUUCUUGCUUUAAAUGAUUCAUAAGCUUCAUUGAUGAUUCUACUUGCACCAACUUGGUUUUAUCCCCUCAAAGAAAAGUUUGAAGUUGCCUCAAUUUUUAAAUCUUUUCACAAAAUGAUUCAACAUCACUGUCACACAAACACUCGAGCAUUUCAGUCAGAUAAUUAGUGACAAUACUUUAAUAAUAUCUUGAAGUCUUAGUUUCUUGAAAAUGGGAUUAUACAUCAUUCUUCACGCAUAGAUACACUCCAACAAUAUGCAGUGAUUGAGAGGAAAAAUAGGCAUUUCUAAGAAGUUCCUAGAGCGUUAAGAUUUACUCACAAUAUCCCAAAGAUUUGCUAGGGUUAUCUUGUCUUAACUAUAGCCUAUUAAAUAAACCAUACGCCUUUGAAGACCCUACUGAAAACUCCAAUUCAAGUCCUAAAAACUGUCUCCCAAUAUCUAACUUAUUCAAAUCUCUUCCCCUUAGAGUCUUUGGAUGUUUAGCCUUUAUUCAGCUCCUAAGUAGAGAAUGAUCUAAACUUGAUCCUAGAGCUCUUAGGUGCUAUUUCCUAGGUUUCUUACUAAAAAACUGUUCAAAUGUCUGGAUCCUUCCUACCAGCAAAAAAAAUACUUAACCAUGGAUGUCAAAUUCUUUGAAACCCUACUAUAUUUUUUUCACUAUGGUUGUGGGGUCCACUCCCUGGAGUGGAGGUCAUCGUUGGACUAAAUCAAAGUCCUAGAAGUCGAUAUCCUAAAGCAUUGGAAUAGGUUAGUUAAAGGUUCAUUACUUUCACCAAAACUGCUACUAUAUGUUACAUGUAUAAUUAAUGUUUUUCUCAAAACCUUACAAGAGGUCGAGAUCCUAAAACAUUGGAAUAGGUUAGUUAAAGGUUCAUUACUUUUCACCAAAUUACAUAUAAUUUUUUUUUUUUUAUGAAUAAAGAAAAAUAUAUUAAAAGAAAAGAGGCACAUCAAAGAAGCACCCCAAAGUAUACAGGUAGUAUACAAAGGUAGAAUACAAAGGAGAGAGAAGAGAACCCUUAACCAGGGCCUAACCAAUCUACAAAAUCUACAACGGAAGGGGGACAAGAGCCAAAUAACCCCCUAGUCUAGGCCCACAGAUUACAAAGGAAAAACGAUUUACACCCAUGAAUUGAAUGCUCCUCGUUUUCAAACGCCCUACUGUUUCUUUCCUUCCAAACAAUCCAAAAAAGGCACAAGGGAGCUAAAAAUCACACUUUCUUCCUUUCCUUUCCCACACAAGGCCCAAACCAUCCCAAUAACGUCUCUCUAACCGAAGAGGGGAGCACCCACGAAACCCCAAAGAGGGAAAAAAGUAAGCUCCAUAAACUUCUGGCCAGCCCACAAUGCAAGAGGAUGUGAUCAAUAGACUCUUCCUCAGCCAGACACAAGUAACAUCUGUUAGCCAAGGAGAACCCUCUUUUCUGAAUACGAUCCAAGGUUAAGGCCUUUUUCCACGUAGCCUUCCAAGCAAAAAAACUCACCCUCGGAAGCACCAAUGAAUUCCAAAUAACUCUUGCAGGAAAAUCCCUUAGUCUUUCUAGUUCCAACUCCUUGUAAAGACUUAAUAGAAAAUCUUCCUUCCUUUGCCUUAGUCCAAAUUACUUGAUCUUCCACAUCACUACAAACCCUCCUCCCUUGCAACCUUAAUAGAAAACGCUCCACAUCGAACACUUCCCAAUCGUUAAGCCGCCUUGAGAACCUACACUCCCCCUCCAAAAUGGCUCCACACAUCCGCCACCCAAGCCUCCUUAGCCGAUGAAAUAGCAAAUAAAGAGGGAAAAGAAGUACACAAAGAAUCAUCUCCACACCACUUGUCCUUCCAAAAUCUAACCCUCCUACCAUUUCCCAUAGAAUAAACCAAAUUGUCGCCUAACACAUCCCAACCUCUCCUAAUCGCUUUCCACAAACCAACCCCAAAACUACCACUCACAACACGGGACCUCCAACCACCCUCUUCUUCCCCAUACUUUAUACAUAUAACUUGCCUCCACAAAGCUUCGCUUUCCAUCGCAAAACGCCAACUCCACUUACAUAGGAGUGCCUUAUUCAGCAACGCCAAGUUCCUCACACCCAAACCACCCUUUCGUUUAUUUGAGCAAACAAUAGACCAUUCCACUAAAUGGGGCUUCCUCUCUAGGGUCCCACCACCCCAAAGAAAGUCCCUUUGGAUCUGCUCCAAUCUCAAACUCAUGCUCCUUGGCAUAUGAAACAGGGACAUACAGUAGAUAGGCAUACUGGACAGAGUGCUCUUGAUUAAGGUCAUUCUGCCUCCUUUGGAGAUAUACUGUCUUUUCCAAAAGGAAAGCCUCUUCCUUAGCCUUUCCUCAACCCGUCCCAAAUUGCCACCUUCUUCUAAUGAGCACCCAAAGGAAGUCCCAAAUAAGAAGAUGGGAGCUUGCUAACCUUGCAACCAAACUCAAGGGCCAACUCCUCUACAUUCUCCACUCUUCCCACCGCGAUGAUCUCACUUUUGUCCAAAUUCACCUUCAACCCUGACAUGGCUUCGAACCACAUAAGGAGCCAACUCAAGUAGGACACCUGAUCAAUGGAAGGCUCACAAAAUACUAAAGAGUCAUCCGCAAACAGCAAAUGAGUGAUCUCCACUCCUGCACCUCCUCUAUCACUAAGCUGCCACCCUAGCAAAAACCCCCCCUAGCAAAAACCCCCCCUCCUUCGCUCUCUUAAACAAACAACUGAGAGCCUCCAUGACAAUCACGAACAGGUAGGGGGAUAAAGGAUCCCACUGUCUCAAUCCCCGAGAACUUUGGGAAAAUCCUAAGAGAGUUCCAUUAAUAAGAACGGAGAAACUAACAAUACCAAUACACCAUUGAAUCUAGCUAAUCCACUUAGCUCCAAAACCCAUCAUUUCCAUCAACCAAAGAAGAAAACUCCAAUUUAUAUGGUCGUAUGCCUUCUCAAUAUCCAGCUUACAAAGGAUGCCACCUCCCCUACUUUUCUGCAUCGAAUGAAUCGCCUCAUUCGCAAUUAGCGAGGCAUCCAGGAUUUGUCUUCCCUUCACAAAUGCAUUUUGGGACUUGGACACCAUCUUACCCAUCACUUUUUUAAGCCUAUUAGCUAGCACCUUUGCUAACAACUUAUAAAGACUGCCCACCAAGCUUAUAGGCUUAAAGUCCUUGAGAUCUUCAGCUCUUCCUUUCUUAGGAAUUAAAACCAGAAAAGAAGCAUUAAUGCUCUUGACAAACUUGCCCUGAUCAUGAAAGUCCUUAAAGAACCCCAUAACUUCCUCCUUCAGAAAACUCCAACUAAAUUGCCAAAACGCCAUUGUGAAACCAUCAAAACCAGAAGCUUUAUCCCCGUUGAGGUCCGAGAGAGCACCAAACACUUCUUCCUCAGAAAAAGGAGCCUCUUAACAUUGCUGCAACUUCCCUUUCCAAAACCUCAACCUGCAGCCCAUUGCAUUUGAGCCUCCACUCAUCUGUUUCUGACAACAGAGAAUGGAAAGCCUGAACCAAACCAUCCUUAAUGUCACGUUCUUCUGUUACCCAUGACCCAUUUAUCUUAAUCUUCACCAGGGAAUUGACCCUCUUAUGUGCAUUGGCCAUUUUAUGGAAAUAACCAGUAUUUCUAUCACCCUCCCUCAGCCAUAACUCUCUAGACUUUUGCCUCCAAGAAGUCUCUUCCAUUAUCACCAACUUCUUAUACUCCUCUAAAGCCUGCUUUUUGAGAUUUUGCUCUUCGGCAUACAACACCCUAUCCCUUUCUAUUGAAUCCCAAAACAUCAUCUCCUUUAAAGCUGAAUCUUUUCUGGCAGUGACAUUACCAAACACUUCUCUGUUCCAAAUCUUCAAGCUGGCCUUAAGCGCUUUCAGUUUUUCAGACAAAGUGAAACUAAAAGUCCCUCUGGAUUGGAAGCCCAUCCACCAACUCCUUAACAAAUCCUUAAAGCCUUCUUCCUUUAGCCACAUAUUCUCAAACCUGAAGGGGGAAAGGCCCUUCUUUGCUCCUCCACAGUCCAACAAAAUUGGGCAGUGGUCAGAAACAAGUCUGGGUAAAAGACUUUGAACUGCCCCACUAAAAUAACACUCUCAUUCCUCUGAAACUAUAAAUCUAUCCAACCUUGACUGAACUUGGUUAUUCAACUCACCCCUCCACGUGAAAGACCCCCCCUGCAAAGGGAGGUCCCUUAAUUCCAAAUCCUCCAUGAUCUCCGAGAAUCUUCUCAUUGCUAAAGACAGUCUUGAAAUACUGUUCCUCUCUCCCAUGAAUCUAAUAACAUUAAAAUCACCCCCUAUGCACCACGAAUCCUGCCACAAUCCCCUGAUUGUCCCCAACUCCUCCCAAAAAUCUUCCUUAAACCUCCCAACAGCAGGGCCAUACACCCCUGUAAAGACCUAACAGAAGUCAUCCUCUUCAUUCUUAAACCAACAGGAAACUGAAAAAUUACCAAUUUCCAUUUCAAUCAGCUCUAAAACCCUAUUAUCCCAAAAAACUAACACCCCCCCCUGCCAUACCCCGAGAAUCAAGAGCGCCCCACUCCAAGAACCUGCCCACCCCCAACGAUCGAACCAAACUACACGACAUACUUUGGAUUUUGGUUUCUUGCAGGCAAACCAAAUCCACCUUUUGAGCCUUGAUUAGAGAUUUAAUGAGCCUUCUUUUAUCGCUAUCAUUUGCCCCUCUCACAUUCCAGGAGAGAAUUCUUAACUUCAUUUACCCACAGAGACUGAACCCCCACUCUCUCGAAAAAUAGCUCUUCCAUUUCCUAAACUUUUAAAAUUAACGGAACACUCCAACCUUUUAAAUUCCCUUUCAGACCUUGAGGAUUCAACCUGAACCUUUCAUUACUUUCACCAAAUUACAUAUAAUUAAUGCUUUCUCCAAACCUUAUAGGAGGUCGAGAUCUUGAAACAUUGGAAUAGGUUAGUUAAAGGUACAUUACUUUCACCAAAUUAUUAUUAUUAUUAUUAUUAUUAUUAUUAUUAUUACAACUGUCUUCAAGAAUAGAAAACAAGUGAUCUAGAAGAUUUGUCCUACUCCCCAUGUCAACUAAAUCUUGCUGAUUCGAAUCAAAAUGUGGUGUCCAAUGCUCUAACCAUUGUUUUUAAUCACCCUAGUAGCUAGAUAAAUACUAGACAUCAAGGAAACAAGAAGGAAAAAUGCACUUAAGGUGUGCCUCAUCCAAGACUUGAUCCCUAAGGCAUACAUCUUUGGGGCUUCACAUUUUUCAUUUUGAGCCUCAGUGCAUUUUUAGGCACCUCAUGAUGUGCACCUUUGAAAUCACCAGUUUAUGCAUUCACCAUUGGAAUGCCACAUAGAAGGGAAUGACACAUAGAAGGAAGUUCAAAGAAUUUUAAGAUAUUUAAAUGCUACUCCUAGAAAAGGACUUUUGUUUUCUAAGAAUGACCACCUCCAAGUAGAAGACAAUCUUGAUACAUGGAGGAGUAAGAACCCUGAUUGUAGCAUAAUUUAGUGCUAAGGUUGGAUUAUGGGCAAUGGGCCAAUAAAUAUGUGAAGUUUCACAGAUUAAACUUCUACUCAAGGGGUUUAAAUCGAAGCUUAAAGAGGCUAUGAAGAUUUAUUGUAAUAAUAAGGCAACAUUCAACAUUGCACAUGACCUAGUUCAAUAUGAUCACACCAAACAUGUAAAGGUGGAUAGACACUUCAUCAAGGAAAAAUAAAGAAUGGACAAUUUCCACCUUUUUUGUGACAAUCAAGUAGCAAAUUACAAAUAUUUUUGCAAAAGAAUCUUAAACACAAUGCUCGACUCUAUGGUCAACAAGCUAGGAAUGCAUAACAUCUUUGCACAGCUUAAGAGGAAGUAUUAGAAUUAAAGAAAUCUGAUUGUCCCAAGGGCUAUUUUUUGAUAAGUAAAGAAAUUGUAUUAAAAGUGCCUAAAGUGUACAUGAUGUAUACAAAGCCAACAAAAGAAGGUAUGGACAAAAAACAACACCCUCACUUUACUUACAGCCCAACCAAUCUAUGAUAUCUAAAAGGGGCAAAGAAGUAGACUAUAUAUGUACCCUAACCCACUCCAAAAACAUGUACAUGAAUCGCAUGGUCUGUUAGUUCAGAAUCUUCAAAGGCUCUUCAGUUUCUCUCCUUCCAUAAAGUCCAAAAUAGGUACAAAGGCGCAACUUUCUAGGCCUUCUUCCCAACAAAGGCACCCCACCAAGGACUAUCCAAAUUCAUAGAACCUUGUUGGUUAAUGAUUUAUUAUAAUCUGUUGCAUUUUUAGUACAUAGCAAAUUACGGAGUUAGCAAAGUUGUAUUAGACUUUCUAUUAUUUCCUCCUUCUAGUUACAUGUGUUGUACAUUGUCCUGAGUGACCUCCCUUCAACCUAAAUUAUUUUUCUUCUAUAACAUCCCAACAAUUCCACCUUUUUGAAGCAACUAAAAUGCAAAAACACAAUUAUCCUAAGCCAUUCUACCACUACUCCAUAAUAGCAAGAAUCCAUAACUCAUUCUUCACAACCUACAACUAAAGAACAAACGUCUUGGAAGCUUACUGAUCUUGCAUCAGAUUUUGUAUAGAAGUUGUAAAUAGAGACUAGAAAAUAAAUGGAAUAGCUCUCUCAAUUUAUUGAAAUGAACAACCAAUACAUUUAUAAAGAAAAACAUAGCAUCCAGAUCGAACCUCGCCUAAACUAAAUCCCUAAAAACUAGGAACCGAAACUACAUAAAGAUAGAGCUUCCUAAUCACUAACAACUACAUUUUAAAUUUAAAGAAAAAAAAAAUAGUAUUAAAAAAAAUCAAAACAUAACAAACUUAAUCCUAAACAAUAUCCUCUACACUCCCCCUCAAGUUGAGAAAAAAUUGUUCAACAUUCCUAGCUUGUAUGUUAGAUCCUCAAAGUUUUGUCUCGAUAGGCCUUUUGUUAAGAUGUCUAUAGUUUAUUGCUUUGUCGGAACGUACAUGAUGCACAUUAGCUCUUCUUUUAUCUCCUCUUUGACAAAAUGAUGAUCAAUUUCUGCAUAUUUUGUUCUUUUGUGAGGGACCGAAUUGUGAGCUAUACUCAUGGUAGCUUUAUUAUCACAAUAAAGUUUUAUAGGACCAUGUGGGAGCACCCUCAACUCAUUUAGCAAUAGCUUCAACAAAAUCAUUUCACAAAUCCCUUGAGCCAUGGACCUAAACUUAGUCUUAACACUAAUUCUUUUUUUUUUUUAUCAGAAACGAAGAAGAUUAUAUUAAUAUAAGAACAAAUACAGGAGAGAAAAAAGAGACAAUAGAAAGAGAAAAAAACCAAGGGAAGGAUGAGAGGUCCUUCCUACACAAAUUGAACAAAGGAUAAAACUCCCAACAAUAGAACUCUAAAAACAAAGAGAAACCCAAUCAAUCUUCAAACUUUUGAAAUGCAAACCCCAAUCCAAUUGAGUUGUAGAAUGUUUAGAGGAACUCCUCUAAAAGCUUCAGUACAAGAAGCCCACAAAGAAGAAUAAAACCGGAUCAAAUCCCAUACCAUCUCUUCCGUUCUCCCUUUAUUCUCAAAGAUCCUAUUGUUUCUCUCUUGCCACACCAUCCAAAUCAAAGUAAGGCAAACAAUUUGCCAAAGUGUCUUGCCUCUUAAUGAGUUCCCCAAGAAGCCUUUAAAAGUAAUAACCAACCCUACUAGAUUGAACAACCUGUGCCAAAGUCCAAUGGUAACGGGACAAUGAAGAAAAAGGUGGUCAAUCGACUCUCCAUUUCCUUUGCAAAGAAUGCACCAUUGAGGACAGAGGGCUUUGUAGGGUCUUCUCAAUUGCAACUUGUCAUUAGUGUUUACCUUCCCAUGUGCUACUAACCAAGCGAGGGCCUUAACCUUUGAAGGGACUUUUGAGCUCCAUAAAAACUUGGCCGGAAGGAACAUUAAAGGAUUUGAGACUUUUGACAAGGCCAAGAAAAAAGAUUUCACUGAAAACAAGUUUGACGAAGACAAAGACCACGCUCUUGAAUCUGAUGAAGAAGGAGAAAAAAGCACAGAAUUAAGGGAGGACAUUUAUCUUUGAAGGAGAUCAAUUUCUGAAUCCGUUAGAUUGCGGCGAAAGUUAAAAUUCCAAGACAGUGGUAAGGAAUUGCCAAGGACAUUUGAGACAGUGAGGUUUUUCACAGAAAUAACUCUGUAAAGAUCAGCAAAUUAAGAGCACAAAGUUUGGUUACCACACCAAAGAUCUUCCCAGAACUGAAUUCUCUCCCCAUUGCCCACCACUAGGCGGACAAAAGGGGAGAACUCUUGGAAAACUUGAGCAAUAGCCUUCCAAGGACAUCUAUGUGACCAUCUAACCACCGUGUUGGCGUCCCAUCCAUUAGGAUGUGUCCCAUAUAUACUCGCAAUAACCUUAUACCAAAGACCGCUCCUUUCUCUAUGGAACCUCCAAAGCCAUUUCCCUAAGAGAGCAAUAUUUCUCAUAGAAGUCUUCCCAAAGCCCAAACCUCCCAACUCCUUUAGUCUACUAACAACCUCUCAUCUGAUAAGGUGACCUUUCUUCCCUUCCCCCGCCCCAGACCAAAGAAAAUCCCUUUGCAUCUUCUCAAUCUUUGAAGCUAUUGAUACUGGGAUUUUAAAGAGGGAGAGGAAGUAGCUAGGGAUGUGAGACAGACAAGACUGAAUUAAAAUAAUCCUUCCUCCCAAAGACAAAUAGACAUUUUUCCACCCAUCCAACCUCCUCGAAAUUCUCUCAACCACUGGAUCCCAAAAGCUUAUUGUCUUUGGGUUCCCUCCCAAAGGAAGGCCUAAAUAAGACAAAGGCCACUUUGACACUCUGCAAUCCAAAACCGAAGUCAAACUAGACAACAGCUCCUGCCUAGUGUUAAUACCUGAAAUGGUGUUUUUUUCUAAGUUGAUUUUUAAACUAGAUACUUGCCCAAAAACCAAAAGGAUAAUCUUGAGGUUUUGAAGAUGUUCUAUACAGGCUUUAAAGAAAAAGAUGGUAUCAUCAGCAAACUGUAACAAAGACACUCUAAUCCUAUCCCUCCCCACAAAAAAACCCUCAGUUAUCCCAGUUUCCUCUGCUCUAAUCAUCAACCUACUUAGAACAUCUGCUACUAGAGUAAAAAGGAAAGAAGAAAGAGGGUCUCCCUGUCUCAAACCUCUAGAGGCUUUAACCCAACCCUUUGCAUUCCCAUUAACUAGGAUUGCAAAACUAGAUGAAGACAAACAGCCCCUCAUCCAAGAUCUCCAUUUCUGGCUGAACCCCUUCCUUUGAAGCACAUGAUCUAAAAAGCCCCAAUCCACAUGAUCAUAGGCCUUCUCAAAAUCAAUUUUGAAGACUACCCCUUCCUCCCCUGACCUUCUUUUCUCAUCCACCACUUCAUUGGCUAUCAAUACAGCAUCCAAAAUUUGUCUCCCUUCCACAAAGGCUCCUUGAGAGCCAAAGAUUGUUUCAUGUAGAACUUUGCGUAAACACCCUGAUAAGACCUUAGCAAUUAUCUUAUAUAAACUUGUAACCAAGCUAAUAGGUCUAUAAUCUGAGAUUUUAAAAGUUUGACUUUUCUUAGGCACCAUAGCAAUGAACAUCGCAUUUGUACUUUGAUUUAUUACCCCCUUAGUGUGGAACUCAAGAAACACCCUCAUAAGAUCCUCUUUUAUCACAUCCCAACACUCUUGAUAAACUGCUAUAGUAAAGUCAUCAGGGCCAGGGGUCUUUUCCUUAUUCAAUUGGAAAAUUGCCAUUCGAACCUCCUCUUCAGAAAACGGUCUAUCCAACCAAACUGCACUCUCUCCAGAAAUAGGGGCCCAAUCAAUCCCUUCAAUCCUCCAAGAGUCACCUUCAGGUUUGGAAUAGAGAUUCCCAAAGAAAUUUACAAUCUCCUCAGAAAUAACCUCAAUGUUACUUAAAGUCUCCCCCCUCUUAGAAAUCAGAGACUUAAUGAACUUCCUGCUUCUUCUUCUAGUGGCCACUCUGUGAAAAAACUUAAGAGUUGCAGUCCCCUUCUUUAAUUCACUUAACCCUAGAUUUUUGUCUCCAUUGAACCUCUUCCUUUAAUAACAAAUCCUCUAGCUCCUUCCUUCUUAAGGUCCUUUCCGAAACCAGAUCAAGAUUUAAAUUCCCUUCUUGUUCAAUUAGAUCAAUUCUGCCUAAGUCCGAAAGAAUGUGCUUUUUCCUCUCUCUUAAAUCUCCAAAGGCCACUAUAUUCCACUCUUUCAACUUUGAUUUAAUAAACUUUAGUUUCCUCAUAAACUUGUGACCUUCCCAACCUUCAACCGUACACUCUUGCCACCAAUCUCUAAACUUCUCUUUAAACUCAGGAUGGAGCAACCACAUAUUCUCAAACCUAAAAGGAGUCGGUCCCCAUUUUAAAGGAUUAGUUUCCAAACAAAUUGGGCUAUGAUCAGAGGUCCAUCUAGGAAGGGCUUCUUGAAUACUUUGAGAGAAAAAAGAAUCUCACUCAGAAGAGAACAAAAACCUAUCCAAUCUCUUGCAAAUAGGAUCCACUUGCAUGUUUGACCAUGUAAAAGCCGCAUUCCUUAGAGGGGGAUCCAACAAACCACUCUCCCUUAUAAACUCGUCAAAACACCUCAUGUUGACUGUUAACCUAGAGUCACCCGUCUUCUCAGAUAUCCUCCUAAUAACAUUAAAAUCCCCUCCUACGCACCACCUUGGGAAAGUCAGACCAUACAGGUCUUGAAGCUCCAACCAAAAGUCCUUCCUCCACAAAGGCUUAUUCGGGCCAUACACUGAGGUUAACCAAAAAGACCCUUCCUCAUCAGAGUUCAACUUUACAGUUACAGAGAAGGAUCCUAACACCUUCUUUGUACACUUGAACUUAAUUGAAUCCCACAAAAUCACAAUCCCCCCCGAAGCCCCACAAGCAGGAAGAGCAGCCCACUCCAGACUUCUGCCUUUCCAAACACUGCUCACAAACCUCCUGUCCCAAAUUUCUCGCUUUGUUUCCUAAAGCAUCACCACAUCUGGGUUUUGAGUACUUAAAAACCUUCUCACAGUCCUCCUUUUCUUCCUAGAUCCUAAUCCUCUUAUAUUCCAACUUAAGAUUUUCAUGAAAACAAAAACAACCCGACACAACCAACACCCAGUACUAAUCCUCUCCUCGAGUUCCAGAGUCAUUUUUCCUCUUUCUUCUGGAAUAAACCUUGUCUGCAGAGAGAGCACUCUUGUUCUCUCCUUCCACACCUUUUCCUUUAUCCUUGACAAUUCUAAUCCUCAAACUCUCCAAAACCGACUGAACCUUGACCAUCUUCCUAAGCGUAAGUCCCUCAACCUAAAAACCUUCCAACGGGAGGGUGGAAGGUUCUAGCUCUGGGGGUGAAGCCUCACCUGAGACACCACGCUCCUCAGGGUUACUGAGUGUUUCCCUAAGGAAAGGCCGGUCUUUAAAUUUUCGGUUAGAGAUUUCUAGGGGAAACACCACACCUUCAAAACAGGACGCACCACCACGAUGGCUGAUAUUCACAACAGGAGAGAUAAAAAAGGAACCACGUUGAACGGCAAAGCUUGACUCCAACGGAAACGAAGAAAAAGGCUGACAACGAGAAGGAUGAACCAAAGAAACAGAGGAUUCGGGAAGAUAUUUUGGCUCAAAAGCCCCAACCAAAGGAAGAUCCCGCUCGGAUACAGCUAAGAAAGGAGGACGCACCUUAUUGACCAAUUUGCAUUGCGAAAUCCCCUCUUCUCCCUCUGUCUCGCCAGUAAAAACUUUGGAUUUUUCUGAACCAGGAGAAAGAUCGCUCUUACUGGAGCGAGAUUUGCCCCGAAAAGUGUCUCGAUUUGCCUCCGAUGAGCCACCUCCUUCUAGGUUACGCUUCGGGGUAGAAGACGCCUCCUCUAAUCUCGGCGGCCAACUUCUUGCUAUGCGCCUUACGGAGACUGAGGAGCCUUUUGGCUUUGACAACUCUUGAGGAUGAGCUUUCGGCAUUAUUUUCUUUGCAGAGAACCUUGGUCGUAGAAGCUUUGAAGACGAAGAUGCAUCUAGGCCACCAUUAGAGUAACCUUCGUGGGCUGGACCCACUAGGGGCCCAAAAUCUUUCGCCCCAAAUUGGGCCCAAUCAGAGCGGGCUUUAAACACGUCUGGUUUUGUUGGCCCGAUGUUGCUUCCCGCCGUUGGGCCGAACAUCCACCUUCCCUUUCCUUUCUCCCCCUUAGACGAUUUUGAAUCUGAAGAACGAGAAUGGGAACGAUGACGAGGCCUCCAGCUAUGGCACUCAUUGGUCCUAGCAGUAGCUCGUAGCCCCGCUGACCUCAGCUUGUCCUUGCUGCGAUUUGACUCAGGCCUGAGAGAGUCUUCUCCGUCAUCUUCUCCGGUGACUGUAACUGCAACCGUGUAUGUCCAAUCUCCAUCUUCUACCUCUAGUAGCGCUGGAAGCACGACAUUUGGAAGCAUCCCCACCCACAAUGUUACCUUCGUCAAAUCUACAAGCUUCAGCGAAUUCCUCGCCACCUUCGUUACCCUCCCCCACUUCUGCAAAAUGUCUCUCAGUUGCGCCUCAUCCCACAGAUGGAAAGGAAGGCCUCUUAGUUCCAACCAACCCCAUCUAAAUUUUCCAUUAACGACUGAGUUCUCUUUUGGCGACCAUCUCCUCAGAGCAAUAACCUCUCCUCUCACUGUGAAGCUCCCUUGAUCUUGAAUCCACUGAGCUCUCCUUGCAGAAUCCACAAAAAAACACCCUUUGUAAGCAGAAAUGGGUGUUACAGACACCAUUCCUUUCAUACCCACCCUUCUCGCUAUAGCUUUUCCAACAUCACACCAGUCUCAUAUUUUUCCUUUGCUUUCACAAACUACAGCUCUUGCCCAUUUUCCAACUGGCAUCUCUGCACCAUUCCAAGGUCCUUUCUCUGCAACCACAUCAACAUAGGACCACUCACCUUUGUACAUUCCUUUGCUCUCUUGAGGCUUUUUUUGCUUCUCCUUCGAGACUCUUUCAGCUUGAACAAAGAAAUCUUCGACUGAAACAAUCGCCUUCCUAAGAUUUUCCCACCCAUAGCCUUUAACACCUUCGUGAACAACUAAAACCAAAGGUUUUCUCUUUGCAACGAAUUCUGUGAUUUUCAUAUAUCUCCCUCUGCUAUUAAAACAUAUCUCCAUCAGAUGAGUCCUAGUCUUGCCCCUCAUCUUUCGAAUGAAACCCCUAGAAGCCUCCAAAUCCACAGCUUUCUUCAAAUGCUCCAAUAACCAACCCGACUCCUCCUCUCCAAAACCUAAAGAAACCACAAAACCUCGACUUCUCUCUGUUAUUGAAAUCCACGUUCCCCCAUUAAAACCUUCAGACUUUACCUGGAAAACCUUUCUCUCCACUACAAACGACUGAUUUUGAAUCAUCUUCUUAUUGUUGUUAUUUAAACCAGAACAAGGAAAGGGAUAGAGCUUCCCUCUAUGCACCUAAUACAUUUUCCAUUCUUGGACACUUUACUUUUUACUUCACUAUGUCACCAAAUUUCCCUCAACAAAUGUGCAAUAUCUCGAGGUAGACCUCUUAUCUCUAUUGGCCUAACCCAAUUAGCAUCAGUGAAAACUUCAAUCUUCUUCUCUACUUUCUUCCCAAAAAACAAUCCCUUUACUAGAAUCAUCUUCAAGUACCCUAAUAUUCUAUUCAUUGCCUCGAAAUUUUCUUCACAUGUUGCAUGUAUAUGUUGGCUUACCACACUUACAACGGAAGUGAUUUCAAUGUCUAGCAUGUGCCAGGCAGAUAAGCUUACCAAUUAGUAUUUGAUAUCUACCCUUAUCCACGGGUAUCCCUCAUUUUCGUCCAAUCUUGUAGUUUAACUCCAUAGAUGUUUAUGUCGAUUUACGCCCUAACAUCCUAGUUUCUGAUGUUCUUACACUGGUGAAAACGUAAAAGAUGUUUCCAGCAGCACCAAACUCGAGGACAAGAUUCUUCUAAGGAAGGGAGAAUGAUGCAGUUAGUACUAGACAAUUUAUGGCAAUUUGAAAACAUAAAAGGUUUGAUUUAUCAAGUAUGUUGCCCUCAAUAUGGCUUCUCCCUAAUAAGAUUUAGGAGCACGUGUUUUAAAAAAAAAAGUGCUCAUGUAACAUCAAGUAAGUGUCUGUUUUUCCGUUCAGCAACCGCAAUUUCUUGCAGAGUAUCUACACAAGAUGAAUAAUGAAUAAUACCUUCUUUUUGAAGAAAAGUUGAUAGGGUUUAAUUAAAAUAGUCCCUUACAUUAUCACUCCUUAAACUCUUAAUGCAUACCCCAAAUUGGUUUUGAUCGUUUUGAAAAAAUUUGGAAAAACUUCACUCGCUUCGAAUUUUUGUUUCAAGAGAAAAGCCCAUGUUACCCUUGUGCAAUCAAUAAAUGAGACAAACUACUCUACACCCAAAAUAUUAGGAAUUUUAGAUGGUCCCCAAAUAUCAGAGUGAAUCAAAGAAAAUGGAGAAGAUGAUCUUGUAUUACUCAGAGGAAAGGAAACAUGAUGAUGUUUAGAAAACUCACAAAUAUCACAAUGUAAAUUGUUAACAUCAACGUUAUUGAAUUGUAAAGGAAACAUAUCUUUGAGUAAACUAAAUGGUGAAUGUCUUAAGACAGGAGUGUUGAAGCCAAAUGUCAUCUUUAUUCAAGGAAAAAUCAUUAGAUAAAUAGGAAUGUGAAGGUUGGUUGCUACUUCCACCCUUUGUCUCAAGGAAAUAGAGUCUAUCAUUUUCCUUAGCAUGUCCAAUCAUCCUUCCCAUAACCCGAUCCUGAAAAACACAGUAGGUUGGAUAGAUCUACAAUCCAAAUCUUUAGUAACUUGAUGAACAGACAAAAGAUUGACAGACAAUUUAGGAACUUGCAAAACAUUUUUUAGCGGAAGACAGGGGAAUAAAGUAACAAUUCCUUGACCCACAACGGUAGUGAAAGAGCCAUCUGCAUUUUUUAUUUUUCUUAUUACUAGGACAAGGAUUAUAGGUGAUAAGUGACUAAGAAGAAUAUGUCAUAUGAUCAAUUACUCCCAAGUCUAUGACCCAAGAAUCAUUAUGGAGUGUGUUUGAGGCACCAUGGGCAUAAGAAGUAGGAAACUUACCUGAUUGUGCAAAUGAACACAAUCCAUUUGUUUUUCAAGGGAAUUAAGAAGAUUCCUCAACCUCUCUAUCUCCUCCUUAUUGAAUUCCCCAGUCUUCGAGCUACUUAAAUUGGAAUUCUCAUAAGGAUAACCUUCUGCAUGAGUCAAGUGAGUCUGUCCUCUCUGCUGUCCAUUCUUAAAACCACCAUUCAAGUGAGUCAAGUGAGUUUCCAACAAGUUUCUUUGGUGUGAUGAAGCUUCUUACAAUAGGUGCACCAUACUCCAUCACUGUUGAACAACCUUGUUGAUUCAUUCUUAUCGGUUUCAGUUGUGAUUCCUUGUCUCUCAACAUUCCUCUUGAUUCCUUCAUCACUUGUUUUUGUGGAAACCAUGACAAACCCUUCUGUGGGUUGAGAUUCAAGCAUGACACCUCUUCGACUUUCUUCGGCUCAGAUAUUGAGAAAACACCUUGCAAUAAGGGUAGAGUUUCCUUCCCUAAAACUUGCACUCAGACUUGGUCAAACUCAGCAUUAAGGAUUUUUUAUAAUAGUCUAAUUCAAGCUUUAGUAACAUAGCAGCAUCUUCACCACAUUUGACAAAUGUAGGAUCAUUCUAAGCAGGUCCAAUCCCCAUCAAAUGGCUUAAUUUCCCUUUUCCUUUCAGAAAAGUCUUCACCACUUGUGACCACUAUAAGUAUUUUCUACCAUUUAAUUGAUAUGAUGAUUGAGUAUUCUGCAACUCCUCUUUUGGAGAGUUUUGUUGUGCCUCUUCAGAUUGGUUUUCAGUAAUCACAGCAAUAGAGUUACCUUCAGAUGUUUCAAACAGGGCUAAAUAAUGGGUAAGACUGAAUAAUGGACAGCUAGAAGGGAUUUCUCAAAGAAUCAAAUUUCUUAAAAAAAAAAAAAAAAAAAAAUCAGCAAGAAAAGUUGUAGGAUUUUGUAUAAAUUAUUUCCCAAAGAGCAAGAGCUCUAAUACCAUGAGCAAAAAUCUUAUUUCCUAUUACAUUGAAUAUCUUUUAUAAAGGAAAAUAUGUACACAGAUUACAGCCUAUUUAAGGAGAGUUUGACAUCCUAUCACAAUCCUAUCAAUCCCCAAAAUUCCUGCGGAUUCAACCAAAUGCCAACUCUCCAAAUCAUGGUUUAUUAAACAUUUGAGGAGCAUUCUUUCCUAUAAUCCAGGGCAGCUCAGUGAAUUUAAAAGCAGUAUAUUUCUUUUGAUAGAUGACCCCUUUUGGCAUUGGAAUUGAACCUAAAACCUUCCUACUCCCAACCCAAUCCAAUCACUUGCUCCUUGAGCUAAACCUCAAGGCAUCUACAUGGACAAAUGAGAACAAAAGAUAAGUGGUUUUAGGUAAGCAUUUGAAGUACUUGCACCAGGACUAGCAUAAACAUGAAAGUGUACACAUUAUAACCAUGAAUGUCAGUGUGCAUAAAUGCUACCAUGCCUAACCUUCACCCUACAACAGAAAGCACACACCAAAAUGUAUCAUGCAGAGUACUGCACAAUUAUCUCAAAAAUGACGCAGAAUGUUACUUAAAUUCAGGACCUAUAACAUGUAGGAAAGAAAAAAAGAAAAAAAGGAAAAAAAAUUCAUAGAAAUGUGAUGGAAGGAGAAAGUAAUGCAAUUACCUGACCAUGGACGUCACCACAAACAGUGAAAUGGCUGUUGUUUGGAACAUUUAUAUCGACAAGAGAAGGCAGGGCUCGCAGCAUUUCUCUUGUUUGAAGGACAAUCUGGAAUGCAUAUCUACAAAGUGGACAUCAAGAUUCAGAGUAAAAACAUUAGGACUUCCAUCUUUGAAAGAGUCAAACCUAUAACAAGUUUAAAGUUCCCUACACAUACCGCUUGUGUAAGCACUUCUGAUUCUUGAAGUCAUCCAACAUUCUUUUCACAAAAUCCAACGUCACAACAUCUCCCUCUAUCCUUGCACCAGAAUACUGUGGCUCCACAUCUUGGAUGAAAACAAAAUAGCAACUUCAUUAACACCAAGCAUUUAAAUAAUCCUUUUUUAAUAGAUUCCCAGAACUUAUAUGAUAUUAUCUUCUAGAAAACUGAAAUAAUUUUUGUUCAACUGAUUAUAUCCCCCAGCAAAUGAAUUAUAUUUGAAACAAUGGUUAAAGUUGACAGCCAGAACCAAUGCUUUAGAAUAUCCAGAAGCAUGAGGAAAACAACUUGAUGGAAUAUGUAAGAGGUUAAAGCCCAUUCUCUUCAUUUUUAUUAAUACAUGAACCAAAAUUAGAAAAUUAUUGAAAUUAAUAGAGAGAGAAAGAGAGAUUAAAUUAAAGAAUAACUAGUGCAUCUGUAUAUGCAUGCCUUGAUGCAUUUUAUUCAGCAACAUAAUAACACAAGGAUGUACAUGAGCAAAACUAAAAAGAAAAGAAAAAAAAAAAAGAAAGAGAAAGAAAAAUGCUUCCCACAAGUACAUUUGUUUGUUUCUGAUAAAAAACUAAUAAUAAUAAAGAAAAAAGAAAACGACAUCCGAUGAUGCAUUCACAACAGAAAUUCAAUUUCCACAAGUAACCAGGAGUCUAAGAGAACCAAAAAUAUAGAUUAGGAAAAACAACAAAGCAAAUAGAUGGUUUCAAAAAUUUCAAUCAAUUAAGACAAACUCAACAGACACAUAAUCCCAACCACAUGGAGUCAGGUAGACAGACCCUUCACAUAAUUGAGUAUAUCCAACACAUCCCCUCAUGAAGUCCCUGACAAUCAUGCAUUUCAUGACUGGCCAAUCCAUCUUUUACCAUUUUAGCAACAUAUUAUUUUAAGAGGUUGUCUCCUAACUGUCUAGCAUUCUAUAAAAUUUGUAUAGUUUUUUAUUUUUAUUUUUAUUUUUUUCAUUUUUUGGUUGCUCUUACAUGGGAUCGAACUUCAAACCUACCUGAAACCCUAGCAUCUAGAACUGGCCUCAAAUGCAACUAGCAUUCUAUAACAUUUAGCAUAGCUGGACUCAUAGGUAUCUUGUAAAAUUUUCCCUUUACUUCAUAGGCAUUAUACAAUGAGGCAGUACUACUAGGACCUUCUCCACAUCAUCCAUCAUGUUCCAAGCCUACAAGCAACAUCAACCUCAAUUUCACUUCUGAUCAUCUACUGGCCAUCAAUUUCCCCAAUAUGGACAUGAUUAGCAAAUAAUAGCAAGAACAUUAGUAGUUAUGUGGCAUGAAGUCAAGUUAAAACAUGCAAUCUUUUUUAGUGUGUGCAUGCAUAUGUAUGACUCUUUUAUCUUUUUUGUGUCAUCGCCAAAGGUAAUCUUGUUCAAACCUUUCUCCAUCUUUUACCUAAAACAUCUAGUUAAUUGUUUUAUGAAUGAUUCUUUUCUUCCUACCACUUUUACCACACUUUUUGGCCACCGACUUGCAUAGCUAGUGGUGAUUGGAGCCAAAAUGUUUUUGCAUUUAAUUCAUAUUAACUACUUUUCAUCACAUUACAUCACCACUUGUUGUACAAGUGGUAAAGAAUGUGGUAAGAAAUAGCAUUACUGUUUUUUUAUUUCACAACAUUCACUAUUAUUAAUCCAUUUCAACGGAACAUUUUUAUAUAGCAUCACCAAUAUAUUAAAAUGCUCAUUUUCUACACUUUAAAAAAAGUUGCUUAAAUCAAUUUUCUUUUCAUUAAUCCCCAUGUUGCACUCUAGUAAAGAAAAGAAACAAAAUUUUCAAAUCAUGCUCUGGCCCAUUUUCAAUAGAAAAAUGAAGAACAAAUCUUCACUGGACUCCACCAAUUAUAUAAAUUUAGAAUUAUUAACCAAGCCAAUGGAUAGGCAGUACUUCUCAUUCACCUAACAAUGUCUAUCACUAUUAAGUUUUAUUAAAUUAUAUUAUGCCAUGUUUGAUUUACAUUAUGAAAGGUAUUUAAUGCUAAUGAUGAAUUCUUAACCAAACUUCUCUUUGGUUAGUUGUUGAGUCGAUAAUUCAUUGUGAGUUUCCACAAUAUCUAAAACCAUGAAUUUGUGACUUCUGGAAUUAUGGGAGCAAUUUGUGAUCCUUCUUCAUACUCUACAUUGUUUCAAAUAGCUUGGAAACUCUUGUUGCUAUAUUCCCCUAGAAUCGAGAACAUGUUAUCUUGGUUGUGCUAUUGAAGAAUCAAGAUAAGUUGGAAAAAGAGAGAACUCAAACCAAUGUUCCACCACUACAGCACUAGAGUCAGCAGUACACUCCCAAGAAAAGAACAGCAGUCAAUAAAAGGAUACUUCUUAGCUCUUCCUCAACCAAACUUUGGCAGAAAGAGCAAAAGAGACUGUUAAUGAAAGAAUACCCCUCAGCUCUUCCUCAACCAGACUUAGGCAGAAAGAGCAAAAGAAAGUAUACAGUAUUAGUAGGCAUAUAACAAGUAUGAUAUGAUAACUUUGAAAAGCUCAAACCUAGGUUAACUGUAUGACUUUUGGAAAAGACACCACUAGUGCAGCCACCCCACCAACAAGCCCCUAUAACCACCACCACCACUGCCACCACAGUCGUUGCAACUGCGGUUGCUGCAAUUCCCACCACUAACAUCACUACCACCAUGGCUACUGCUGCCGCCGCUAAAGCGGUCACCAGGGUGGUCAAGGAUGAUGAGUCUGGGCCAGUCCCUAUAACAAUAAAAAUUAGUAAAAAUACUAAUAAUGUUAACUCUUAAUAAGCAUAAAAUUUAUAUAGAUUAUUAUAAAUUUAUAAAAUUAUUUUAUGUAUUCAUAAAACUAACACAAAUCAAGCAUCAGUGCAGCAACCCAACUCGAGCUUGAAAUUCUGAGCCCUGCUCCUAUCCCAAAAAUUUAUUAGGCCUAGAAAUAUAGGAUAAUUUUGAGUCCUGAAAAUGAAUCAGGCCUACAAAUAGAGAACACUGCAAACAAUAGAGCCCUAUCCUUCACAAUGUAGCCAGCCAAUGCUCUAGCUAGAACAUCACCUUAUAGCUACCCACCCAUGGAAACUGCACCACUCCCAUUUUUAUAAACACAUAAGUUAAAAAAUAUCAAACCAAAAUUUGAAAAACAAAUACACAUCAACCAAGAAAGAUGAUAGAAACACUUUACUGAAUCUAACUCCAAUCUCACUCUAAAAUAAAGAUGAUUCCCCAUUGAACUCUUCUGCAAUACACAAAGAAUACAUCAUACAUUAUCAAUACCCAUCAAAUUAAUCCAAUGAGAUUUCCAAUAAUUGAAAAUACUGAGAUUCUCAUGCAUUCAAAUUGUUCAAAAAUUUAGACAAGGAAGCUUCCUCUCUUCCAAAAAAAACUUCAUAUCAAAGAUUAACUCCCUCAAUGUGAAAAGAGAAACCUAAUUCAACACCUUACCUCUUGAAGAAAAACCCAAUGAAGGAAAGAAAAAAAUAAGAUUUACUAGUUCAUUCCUAGUGCUUCCUGUAUAGUUCUAGGAAUAAAUAAGUGUGAGAUAUUUGAAGUGAAAGCUCUAUACUUUCCUGAGAGUAUUUGAUAAUCACCAUAAUAAAGUAGUAAUUAAUUUCAAUGAAGCAUAGACUUGUAAAUAAAAUUACCAACAUUUUUAAAAACUCUUAUAAACAAACACAAAAAUAGCACAGAUCAUCAUUUUUUAUGUCCUAAAGUACCUUUGAACUACAUAGAUUAUCAUUUUGGUGUAGAAUGUAAUUUAAUGAGUUUUUUAAGUAUUGAAACUCCAUGAAACAUAAUUGUCGUCUCUACUAUAAAUUUAGUAUUCACUUUUAAAGUCAUAUUUGUUAUCAUAUAAAUUUGCAUUUUUAUUUAAUGACCAAUGCCAUGAUUUUUUUUUUUUCAUAGGUAAAUUGUUUUUUUUUCUUUUUUCCGUUUUUGUCCCCAUUGGGACUUGAACCUAGAACCUCUCAUAAACCCACCCCAACCCUUUACCACUUGAGCCAGGCCUCAAGAGCGACCAAUGCCACUAAUUUUAUAACACAUAUAUUAUUAUCUUAAAAGUUCUUGAUUAAUGUAUACUAUAGAUUAUUUUAUCAUUUCUCAAUGGGAAAUCCCUCUUUGGUUGGUCCAAAGUUACGUUAGAAAUGGGAAAUUUCUCAUUGAUGACAUUCAUAUAUGGUCCCUAGAGGAAGUGUCCUUGCUCCUUGCUUAUACUUACCUCAAGCCUCUAUAUGGUUAGAGGGUUUAUUCCCGCAACUACUUGACGGCCGAAUUCAUCAUCUCGCAAGCAGCACAGUGUGUACCCUGAGAGUGAAGAAGCCUCACACACAAAGAAUGAGUGAGGCUUCUAGGGGUGGAAGGAGCUAGUUCGUUGUUGAAUCUAAGUCUUACGAGUUGCAGGUUGAGGUGGUAGGUGGCAAGCUGAAAGGGUGUAUCGGGGAGAAAUGUAGAGGAACCACUUCAUAGAUUAGGUUUGGGGAAGUUAGUUUAAGUCGUUUGUUGGAUGGUGUUGAAACUUGUUGUAGGGAUAAUGGAAAUAGAAGGUGGGUUCUUGAUUGGGAGGAGGAGGGGAGGAAAUAUAGGUUGGAGCAUCGAUCAAAUGAGGCGUGAAGGUUUUUUCUCUGUUCAAUUUGCGAUAUUGAGUCCAAGAGGUACUGUGUGAUCUUCCCAAAAGGAAGGGGUUUGUUAGGAGGUUAUAAUAUUCUGGCGGACAAGCUGCGUGAUCUUGGAAAGGUUUGUUGUCAAUGACUUAUGCCGAAAUGGCAAAACCGAGGCCAAGGAGGAUAGGUGAUUUGUUUGGUUGGAGCUGUGAGAAAGAGAGUUGCUAGGAAGGAAGGAUCAAUUGGACCGGUGUUUAGUGGGCUGGUGGGGAGUGGAUUUUGUUCCUGCCCCUGGAUUUAGUGAGGAGUUGGGCGAGCCACCUUUGGUUGCUAAAGGGGAGAUUGAGAGCGGCUUUUCCGGGUAAAGGGCUUUUGUUGUUUGAGUUUGAGUCUUUGAGUGAAGCUGAAAGGGAUUUGGCUAGAGGGAAAAGAAGACUCAAGGAGAACGUUUUGCAUCUUACAAGAUGGAAUCCGGAGGCGGGGUAUUUCCGGCAAGGUGCUAGCAUUAAGGAAACUUGGGUGAGGGUGGUGGGUCUUCCUCUUCACAUGUAGAGUAGAGAGGUGCUUAAAAAUAUAGGUGAUGGGUGCGGAGGUUUUAUUGCAGUGGAUGAGGAUAUAGCUUUCUUCAUGGAAUUAUAGUGGGCGAGGAUUUUAGUAGAAUUGGAAGGCAAGGAGCAAACCAGUUCUCUGUGGGAUCAGGUUGUUUUGUCAUUCAGUUAUGGUGGGAAACCCAUCCUAGUUUUGUCCAGGUGGUGUCAGCGAGCAAGAACUGCAUGGCUGGAAGUUCCAAGGGUAGGGAAGCAGUUGAGGAGAGGCCACACGCUGAUUAUUGUGGUGAUUUAAGAGAAAGGGUGGUGUUGGUUGAGGUACAGAGGGGAGUACAAAAUGUGUCGUUGCAUGAGGGGAGGCAAAAAGGAGUUGGUGCUGAUACUACUAUUGUUGCUAUUGCUUCCUCUGAACUAGGGUCAGUGGGUAGGUCUAAAAAGUGGAAUACUAAUUUGAUUCCUGAGAGUAGGGGAGAAUGACACUUUUUUGAAAUCGUUGGGUGGGUGCAGUGGCGAGUUGAUUAAAGGAAGAAAAAGGAAAGAGAGAUUGGGCUCAAUGGAGGCCCAAUCUGUUAUUGGGCUUGAGUAUCGACGGGGGAAGGGAGAAUUGGAGGUGGGUUUAAGGCACAUUUCUUUAAAAAUAUCUUUAGUGGGUUGUAAUGAGGGUUGGGAGAUGAGGGUUGGGCCUAGUAAAAGUGGUUUGGGGUUCAAUGGCCCUUUUAAAGCCUUAGUUCUUCCCGUGGCUAACUUUGAAGCUAGGGCAAAAGAGGAGUCCCAAAGAGAAGCCAACAAUGGUAAAAGGUCAGUUUUUGGCAUCCUAGAGGGGGACCCGAUGCUCGAGGUGGCUCCUUUGCUUACCCAGACUGAGUCGACUCUGUCGGAGGUCGCUAGGGCAGAGUUUAAAAACAAGGUGCUAUUGGAAGAGGCCUCUAGGUAUGACACUCUUUCCCACGGUUGUGUGAAGACCCUGUUUCUCUCUUCUACUCCUUUUCUUUUUGGUCGAGCCUUGGUGGCAAGGGGAUCCUCUGGCCAGGGUGGGUUGGUGCCAAUAGAAGAAGAGAGUUCCUUAGAUCCUUUGUCCAUCAUCUUGGCUAACAGUAGUGAAAAGGCUAUGGAUGAAGGGGGAGGGAGGGACGUAGCAGAAAUGGCUGUGGAAGUAGGGCUUACUCAAGAAGUAAGGGAGUUUGGAGAUCAGUGGAAUGAGAGCAGCUUGGUAAAGUUUAGCAAAUAUUUGGGUUUUUCCUUAGAAGGGUUUGAAGGGGAAUUUCUAAGUUUGCUUCAAAGGAUAAAAAAAAAGGGAACAGAUUAAGAGGAAGGGUGUUGGUUCGACCACUAGGUUCGACUGAGAACUGAAUAAGUUAAGAGUGGUCGAUCAAUUACAAAGGAGGGGACAAAGAGAGUGAGGUGGUCAAAGGAGGAGGGAACAGAGAGUUGAGUUGUAAAUGAAGCUAAAGUUGUUGUCCUGGAAUGUCAAAGGGGCAAAUGACAACAAUAAGAGGAAGGUUAUUAAAGCAUUAAUUAGGGAUCAGAAGGCAAAUCUGGUGUGUCUUCAGGACACUAAAAUUCAAGAGAUGUCCAUUGGAGUGGUGCGAAGUCUUGGAGUGGCAGGUUUCUAGAGUGGGGUGCGUGUGUGUGGAAUAGCCGGAGGGGUGGUGGUUUUUUGGGAUAACAGAGUGUUAGAGUUGACUAGCAUGGUGGUGGGUCAGUUCUCGAUCUCUUGUCGUUUUAGAAAUUGCGAUGAUGUUUUGUGUGGGUUUUUACGGGGGUUAUGGUCCCAUUUUGAAGAGAUGUAGAGAACUUUUUUGAAAGGAGUUGGGGGCUAUCCGUGGGUUGUGGGAUGACCCCUAGUGCAUUGGAGGGGAUUUUAACAUGUCAAGGUUCCCUAGUGAGCGCAAUAGAGGAGGCAGGUUGGAGGCUGCAAUGAGAAGAUUUUCGAAGGUGAUUGAUGAUUUGGCUCUAAGAGACCUUCCAUUGCAGGGGGUCCAUUUACUUGGAAUGGUGGUCUUAAUGGGCAAACUAUGUCAAGAUUGGAUCUUUUCUUGGUGUCUGAGGACUGGGAAAGUCAGUUCAGUGGGGUGGUGCAAAGCACUCUUCCCCUACCAGUGUCUAAUCACCAUUCUAUCCUUUUAGAUGGGGGAGGGAUGAGGAGAGGUCUUUUGGAUUUUCGUUUUGAGAAUAUGCAGUUGAAGGAGGAAGGGUUUAAGGAUCUUUUAAAAGACUGGUGGCAAUGGCUCAAUUUCAAGGGCUCUAGCAGUUCAUUCUAGCAACAAAGUUGAAGGCUCUUAAGGGUUUUUUUGAAAACCUAGAACAAGGAAGUGUUUGGGAAGGUGGAGGUUAACAAGAGUUUGGCAUUACAAGAAGUCAAUUUAUGGGAUACUCAGGAGAGGUCUAGAACCUUAUUGGUGGAGGAGGUGGAGGCAAGCAGGCCAGGGAGGAAUAUAAGAAAUGGGUUCUCAUGGAGGAAAUCUGUUGGAAGCAAAAAUCUAGAGAAGUGUGGCUGAAAGAAGGUGACAGGAAUACAAGUUAUUUCCACGGGAUGGCGAAAUUGUCAUAGAAGGAGUAAUCUGACCAAGAUUAAAAGUAAUGGUUCUUGGAUAGUAGAGGAGAGGGAAAUUCAGGGGGUUGUGGUUAGUACUUUCAGCACCUAUUGUCGAAUCCUGGUGGCUAGAGUCCAAGUUUGGAUGGGCUGGUUUUUGACAGAUUAGUAGGGGAAGAGGAAGCUAGGCUAGAGGAGGCUUUCUCUGUUAAUGAGGUUGUCUCUACUCUUUGCGACCUAAGCGGGGACAAAGCUCCAGGGCCAGAUGGAUAUUACUUAGCUUUUUGGCAAUCCAGUUGGGAUUUUGUGAAGGAGGUGAUGGGUUUUUUCCGAGAAUUUCACGAGCAUGGGAGGUUUGUUAAAAGUUUGAACUCUACUUUCUUGGUGUUGGUUCAAAAAAAGGGAGAUGUUGAGGGCUUUAGAGAUUUCAAACCUAUCAGUUUGGUGAGAGGGCUAUACAAAUUGUUAGCAAAAGUGUUAGCUAAUAGGUUGAAGAAAGUGGUGGGUAAGGUGGUAUUCCAUCUCAAAAUGCUUUUGUUGAUGGGAAGCAAAUUCUGGAUGCAGUGUUAAUAGCUAAUGAGGCUGUAGAUUCUAUUUUGAAAGGUAAUGAAUGCGGGGUGAUGUGUAAGCUUGAUAUAGAGAAGGCAUACAACCAUUUAAAAGGGGAUUUCUUGCUCCAGGUGUUGAAGAAAAUGGGCUUUGGAGACAAAUGGGUAGGGUGCGUUAAGUGGUAUAUUUCUACAACUUCUUUCUCGAUGUCGGUUAAUGGCACACUGCCAGGUUUCUUUAACAGCUCCAAGGGGUUGAGACAAGGGAACCCCCUUUCACCCUACAUUUCUAUAAUAGGUAUGGAGGCCUUGAGCUGUUUGAUCAAGAGAGUAGUUAGUGGGGGCUUUUUGACUGGUUGUAGGGUUAAAGGGAGGGGUGGUGAGAGAGUUCAACUCACCCAUCUGUUGUACGCUGAUUUUUUGUGAUGCCUCUGAGGGCAAUUGGCUCACCUAAGCUAGGUGUUAAUUUCGUUUGAAGUUAUAGCCAAUUUAAGAAUUAAUAUGGAUAAAAGAGAGAUUCUUCCAGUAGGGAGCGUGGAGAAUCUGGAGGAGCUGGCUCUUGAGCUUGGGUGUAAGGUGGGGAAGCUCUCUUCCUUAUAUUUAGGGCUUCCCUUGGGUGCACCUCACAAAUCAAUGGCGGUGUGGGAUGGGGUGGAGGAGAGGUUACNNNNNNNNNNNNNNNNNNNNNNNNNNNNNNNNNNNNNNNNNNNNNNNNNNNNNNNNNNNNNNNNNNNNNNNNNNNNNNNNNNNNNNNNNNNNNNNNNNNNAGACUAGCAUUGUGGAAGAUGCAAUAUAUAUCUAAAAGAGGGAGACUUACUCUCAUUCAAAGCACUUUGUCGAGCAUGCCUAUUUACUACAUGUCAAUUUUGCAUAUGCCUAGAUCGGUUAGAUUAAGACUUGAGCAAAUCCAAAGGGAUUUCCUUUGGGGUGGGGGGGGCUUUGGAGAGGAAGACUUAUCUUGUUUUUUUUUUAGAUCAGAAACGAAGAGAAAUAUAUUAAUAGAAGGAAAGAUACAGGAGAAAGAAAAGAAAAAAGAAACAAAAGAAACCACUAGAAGGAUGAGAGGUCCUUCCUACACAAUCUGAACAACAGAAAAAACACCCAACAUUAGCUAAAAACAAAGAGAAACCCCCAUAAACUCAAACUUUUGAAGCGCAAACCUCACUCCAGUUGAGUUGUAACACAUUUAGAGGAACUCCUCUAAAAGCUGCAGAACAAGAAGCCCAAAGAGAGGAAUAGAACAAAA
rnacentral:lncRNA from 1 species